rnacentral:rRNA from 1 species
CCUACGGGAGGCAGCAGUGGGGAAUAUUGCACAAUGGGGGAAACCCUGAUGCAGCAACGCCGCGUGAGUGAAGAAGUUUCUCCGUAUGUUAAGCUCCAUUUGCAGGGGAGAAGAACGACGGUACCUGACUACGACGCGCCGACUAACUCCGUGCCAGCAGCCGCGGUAAUACGUAGGGGGCAAGCGUUAUCCGGAUUUACUGGGUGUAAAGGGAGCGUAGCCGGCUGUGGAAGUCUGAAGUGAAAGCCCGUGGCUCAACCCCGGAACUGCUUUGGAAACUGUAUAGCUUGAGUACUGGAGAGGCAGGCGGAAUUCGUGGUGUAGCGGUGAAAUGCGUAGAUAUUAGGAGGAACACCAGUGGCGAAGGCGGCCUGCUGGACAGAAACUGACGUUGAGGCUCGAAAGCGUGGGGAGCGAACAGGAUUAGAUACCCCAGUAGUC